rnacentral:rRNA from 1 species
UACGGGGGGAGCAAGCGUUGUUCGGAUUUACUGGGCGUAAAGGGCGCGUAGGCGGCCACCGCAAGUCGACUGUGAAAUCUCCGGGCUUAACCCGGAAAGGUCAGCCGAUACUGCGGGGCUAGAGUGCAGAAGGGGCAACUGGAAUUCUCGGUGUAGAGGUGAAAUUCGUAGAUAUCGAGAGGAACACCUGCGGCGAAGGCGGGUUGCUGGGCUGACACUGACGCUGAUGCGCGAAAGCCAGGGGAGCGAACGGG